UACGUAGGGUGCGAGCGUUAAUCGGAAUUACUGGGCGUAAAGCGUGCGCAGGCGGUUGUGCAAGACAGAUGUGAAAUCCCCGGGCUUAACCUGGGAACUGCAUUUGUGACUGCACGGCUAGAGUGUGUCAGAGGAGACUGGAAUUCCUGGUGUAGCAGUGAAAUGCGUAGAUAUCAGGAGGAACACCGAUGGCGAAGGCAGGUCUCUGGGCUGACACUGACGCUCAUGCACGAAAGCGUGGGGAGCAAACAGG
rnacentral:rRNA from 1 species